GUAUAUGCUGUGAAGAAGAGGAGUAGGUAUAAGGAUGUUUACAGAGAGAGGACUAGGGGUGCAAGGUCCUUAACUGAAUGUAUCGAAGGUAGCUUUGGAGCAUACUUUGUUAAUGUUGACGUGAAUUUUAGAGAUUUGCCUAGUCGAUGAUCUAGGAGAUUUGUAUAGUUAUUAUUGUCGACGGUUUAUCUAGUCAAUUUAGCAGGGUACGGUUUAUCCACGUUAAGGAUAUUGAGUGCCGAGAAAUUUUCUCGGAAUUAAGGUGGUAACGCGAGCUUUUCGUCCUUUUU
rnacentral:ncRNA from 1 species